ACAUCAGAAGCAGCUGAGACCUCGACAUCAGGGUCCGAUUUUAUUAGAAAAUGGCUACAGAAUUCCAUUUGUCUUCAUGUAAACGGACAAACCUCUUUGAAAUCAGUUUAUAGCUAAAUCAAUUUAUAUAACAAACCAAAAUAGCAUACGAUCCACCUUCAACAGGCUAACAAGAUCAAAAGGGAAGGGAAGGAAAGACAACUGGUAGUCCCCCCUUCAGUUUGCCAUAUCGUCAACAUCCGCCACACGAAG
rnacentral:misc_RNA from 1 species